AUGUUUGAUAGGGAGCCAGUGCAGUGUGGACAGGACCGGGCUAAUAUGUUUCCUGCCACACCAGAGGAGACAAAACUUUGGAUCAUGUUUACAAACAUUAAUGGAGUUUACAUCGCGAGCCCCCUCCCCCACCUCGGACAGUCUGAUCACCUUUCUUUGUUUCUCACCCCUAAGUAUUCACCCCUCAUCAACCGUGUGAAACCAUCAGUGAGGACCAUCAAAGUGUGGCCAACGGGAGCAUACUCUUUACUUCAGGACAGGUUUCAACACACUGACUGGAGUAUGUUUGCUUCACAGGCUGCCUGUGGCUCUCACACAGACAUUGAUAUCUACACCUCCUCUGUACUGGAUCACAUCAACUCCACCAUUGACAGUGUUACAACAGAAAAACAGAUAACAACAUACCCUAAUCAGAAGCCAUGGAUGAACAAGGAGGUGCGACUUCUGCUGAAAGCCCGCAACACCGCUUUCAGGUCAGACGACGCUCAGGCCUACUGUAAAUCCAGGGCUAACCUCAAAAGGGGCAUCAAAAAGGCGAAGUACUGCUACAAGUUGAAGGUAGAGGAACACUUUUCCAACUCUGACCCCCGACGCAUGUGGCAGGGCAUCCAGAUCAUCAGUGACUACAAGUCAAGCAACUCCACACCAACAGUCACGGACGCCUCCUUCCUUAACGAGCUAAAUGACUUUUAUGCUCGCUUCAACAGCGACAGCAAGGAGACAGCCACCAAGAUCACACCCUCAGCAGACCACCAACCCUUCAAACUCACCUCCACAGAUGUCCACACUGCACUGAGCCGGAUCAACGCACGCAAGGCUGCUGGCCCUGAUGACAUUCCUGGGCGUGUGCUUAGGGCAUGUGCAGAGCAGCUUGCAGGGGUCUUCACAGACAUUUUCAACAUGUCCCUCAUCCAAGCAACUGUGCCUACAUAUUUUAAGUCCACAUCCAUUGUGCCAGUACCAAAACACUCCUCCCCAACGUGCCUCAAUGACUAUCGCCCCGUAGCACUCACACCCAUCAUUAUGAAGUGCUUCGAGCGACUGGUCCUAGCACAUCUCAAAGACUGCCUCCCACCCACACUGGACCCACACCAAUUUGCCUACCACAGAAAUAGGAGCACAGAGGAUGCAGUAUGCACAGUGCUGCACUCUGCACUCACACACCUGGACCAAAACAACACGUAUGUUAGGAUGUUGUUUGUUGACUUCAGUUCAGCAUUUAACACCGUCAUUCCCUCCAAGCUGACCACAAAACUUGGAGACCUGGAUAUUAACACCUCCCUCUGCAACUGGAUUAUGGACUUUCUGACCAACAGGCCUCAGCAUGUUCGGUCAGGCCACCACCACUCCACCACCAUCACACUUAACACUGGCGUAUCACAGUCACAGUCUGGUAUGGGAACUGCUCAGUGGCUGACCGCAAGGCACUGCAGAGGGUGGUGA
rnacentral:lncRNA from 1 species